rnacentral:tRNA from 1 species
GCUAAAAAAGCUUUUAUAGCCUUGGUCUUGUAAACCAAAGAUAGAAAUAAUUAAUUUCUUUUAGUA